AUUUGUCUAAAUUUGUUUUUAUUUAAAUAGCAUCAUUUUGAAAUCAGAGAUCAGGAGUUCGUCUGAAUGUACGCUCGUGGUGAUGUUUAUUGCCCUUAUCCCUGGUCCCUGGCCGAAACGUGUAGCUGAAUCAGCAGAGUUUACUUGGCAACAGUUUCCCAUGCCAGCGGGCCGUAUCUUGUUCGGCAACCAGAAUAGCAGAGGAGGAAUGUGGAAAGUACACCUAUAAGGCAGUGAGACCAUUAUUAAAGUAUAUACAUCAGAUGAAGGAGGAAAUUGAAAACAAUAACAAUAAAAUGGAAGGCAAAGACAGAGAAAUCAAGCAACUGCAGGAAAAGCUGAACCAACGCAAUGAAUGAAUUCUACAAACAGACUAUUAAAGAGCUAACGAAGAACGUUUUGUCGAUCAAAGAGGAAAUGGUGAUACAGCAGGCCCUGGCUGGACGGUUAUCCAACAACGAAUCAAUGGCAAAGAGGACUUCUAUAGGGAUUGGGCCACAUACCGUGCCUGCUUUGGAAGCUUUGAGGCGACUUCUUCUUAGGACUCGAGAGGAUUCAUCGCUUAACGAGCGCCCAGCCCCAUGAGCUCUACAUACAUAUGGAAGGAUUUGAUGGUAUCAUCAAAUACUACAAAUAUGAACAAUUUGCCAUCGCUGGCAAGGACGAUCAAUACAGACUGAUCACCUUGGGUAAAGCUGAGGGCAAUGCAACACGCGAAUACUUGAAUUAGCACAGAAAUAUGAAAUUCAGCACAUUCGAUCGCGAUAAUGAUACUUGGGAUAAUGGCAACUGCGCAAUCAAUCAUGGUGGUGCCUGGUGGUACGCUUCCUGUGCAGCUAGCAAUUUAAAUGGCAAAUACUCGAAUCAUGAGAAGAAAAGGAAUGAUGCCAUGUUUUGGGAUACCUUUGUGCCUUUGAGAAAAGUCAAAACGCUUAUGAGAGCCAAAAGGCUUGGUAAAUUGUAAAAGUUUUGUUUAAAAACAUAUACAAUCCUGUGAA